UAGCAUAAUCAUUUGUUCUGUAAUUAAGAUCUGGAAUGAACGGUUUAACAGAUAGAAUUUUCUUAUUUUGAAUUAAUUAAUUUGAAUUUUAAGUAAAAAUGCUUAAGUGUUUUCAGGGGACGAUAAGACCCUAAAAGCUUUAUUUAGGUUGAUUUUUAUUUUGUUAUGUAAAUUUGUAUAGGUUGGUUAAGAUUUUUAGCUGGGGUAGUUGUUUUGUUUAAAUCAGAUUUUGGGACUACAGUGUUUGGUUGAUAGGUCCUUUAGAUUAGGACAGGAUGUUAGAGUUACUUUAGGGAUAACAGCAUAAUAACUUCGGGAAGAUCUUAUUUAUGGAGUUGAUUGUGACCUCGAUGUUGAAUUAGAAGUUUUUUAUGGGGUAGCCGACAUAAAAAAGGGUUUGUUCAACCUUUAAAUUUUUACAUGAUUU
rnacentral:rRNA from 1 species